CUGUGGGGUGAGAGUUUAUCAGUGAGACUGAGAUUGAAACUUUGGCGGGGGGUGCUAGGGCAUAUUUCUGCUGAUCCAAAUCAAAUCGAUAUUUCAAUUUCGUCCUUGUAAUUCCUCUUGGGUUGCCAUGGAAACCCCCAAAAUUGACCCGCUUUUGAUUCUCGAUCGUAACUCUCGCGCCACCAGAGGGAAGAGAAUGACCAAAUUACUUGAUGAGGAAAUCGAAGAGGACGAGAUGUUCUGGAAUCAGGAGGCUCUUAAAGAGGAUGAAGAGGAUGGUAACUAUGAAGCAGAGCCUGAGGUUGCAGACGAGUUUGAUAGUGACUUCGACGAAGAUGAGCCAGACCCGGACGAAGGAGUAGAAAACAACGAGGCAGAGGAAAGAGUUCGGACAAAGAAGCGGUUGAUAUUUCCGGGAAAGCAAUCAAGCAAGAAGAAGAAGAAGAAGAAAGUGCUAACGGAAUUAGAGAAAGAAUCUAAGGAUGAAAAUGAGAAAUCUUCCCAACCUGAACAGCAUCACGAUGCUCCUGAGGAAGGAGAAGGAGAGAGAAUCGUGAGAAAAUCUUCAAGAACUUCAGUGAUUAUCAGGCAAGCCGAGAGGGAUGCAAUACGUGCGGCUUUGCAAGCAACCAUGAAGCCGAUAAAGAGAAAAAAGGAAGGCGAGGAGAAGAGGAUGACCCAAGAAGAGAUGCUUUUAGAAGCAGCUCAAACAGAAAUUAUGAACUUGAGGAAUUUGGAGCGUGUUCUGGCAAGGGAGGAAGAAGUUAAGAAAAGAGCAAUUGUGCACAAAGCUGUCUAUACUGGCCCGCAAGUACGAUAUUUCUCAAAAGAUGGUUGCUCAUAUCUGGAAUUCAGUAGAGGAUUAUCAUUUCAGUCUGAAAUCUCUACCACGACUGCUCCCUACCCUGAGAAAGCUGUUUGUGCAGUUACUGGUUUACCUGCCAAGUACCGUGAUCCAAAGACAGGGCUACCUUAUGCAACAAAAGAAGCUUUUAAAAUUAUUCGCCAGCGGUAUGGUUUUCCAUGUUUCUACUUGAAAGUGGUCGGGUCAGGAAAGAGAUGGACCUGGGAGAUUUGCACGAUUCACUUUCUGGGAAAGGGUUUUUGGCAAGGCGGAAGAGAUCAGUGUCGUCAAAUAAAAUUGAUGUGUCGUAUUCACGUUACUUUGCACGUUUCCGCAGAAUUCCGGCCCUUGAAAGUGAAUCUUCUGAUUAACUUCCAUGGUAAUCUGAAGAGUUGUUUGCUGCGUGCAUUUUUAGAAAAGGAAGAAACGUUAUGUACUUUUUGGGCGGAGGCCUAAUUAUUAAGAUACAAACAAGGAUCUUUUUUGUCAUCUUCAUGAGGAAAGCGAUAAAAGCUCUAGGAGGAAGGCGGCUUGCAGACUAGCAUUAUCCUGUUGUGUUUUGGCAGUAGUGUUCCAUGCUGCCAUGGUGCAAUCCAAGACUCGAUCAUGCUUGCAGGGAACGCCCGUGUCCAAAAACCACUGUGUUAUAAUGAAGAGCGUAUGACUUGCAACAGGAGGAAAGCCUGGGUCCUAGCAUAUCCAAGACAUUACUAUUAUGUAAUUCAAGUAAUUGUUAGAUGUCACGUUGAUCAUUGAAAGCUCUUUUCUGAGUGUAUUUUGUUGCUGACAUAUGCCGUGCAACAGAGAAUUUUGUCCAGUUUUGGCUUUCUAUUAAUCUGGUCAUUUCAAUUUUCUGAGAGGGAA